CCUUCAGCAGAAGUGAAAUGUGUUUCCUGAACCAAGGUGAAGAGCCCCCUAUUCCAAUAACCAGAGAGGCAGUAUGUUGUGGCCAAACAGCCAGCCUGAAAAUUCCAGUAUCAACUCCAGGAAGAAAACAAUUUGCUAAGUAUCAGUUCAACCAACAUAAGAACAUAAGAGCUGCCGCACUGGGUCAGACUAAUGGUCCAUCUAGCCCAGUAUGUUGUCUCCGACAGCGGCCAGCACCAGAGCUUCUGGGAGAGUGUACAGAACAGGUGAACGGGGUGACCUGAGCAUCAGAGAGACAUUUGGGAGGAACUAAAAGGGAAAGAUGUGGACAGAUCAUUCAAGGAAAUUCUUUUAAAAGAGUUAUCAUAAAGGAUCACCACAUUGAGAAGGUGUGAUACAAAAAGGUUUUACCUCAAAUGAUUCUCGUGUCAGAACAAACAUGCAAUUGUUACACCAAGUUUAAUUAAAGAAUAAAUUUGACCCACACCCACAAGAUGUGUAUCUCAAUAACUCCAGCUGUCUGCUGUUGUGCAAAGAAGAGGGAAAGGUUAUUCCCACAAAUUCAUCUGGGUUUAUCAGUGUCAGCAAAGGCCCUUAAGGAAAUUCUAUAAUGAAUUUGCACAAAUAAAACAAAG